UACGUAGGAUGCAAGCGUUGUCCGGAAUUAUUGGGCGUAAAGAGCGAGCAGGCGGUUUGGAAAGUUGGACGUGAAAUUUUAGGGCUUAACCCUAAAGGGUCGUCCAAAACUCCCAGACUAGAGUGCAGGAGAGGAAAGCGGAAUUCCCGGUGUAGUGGUGAAAUGCGUAGAUAUCGGGAGGAACACCGGUGGCGAAGGCGGGUCUCUGGGCAACAACUGACGCUGAGGAGCGAAAGCGUGGGGAGCGAACAGG
rnacentral:rRNA from 1 species